rnacentral:rRNA from 1 species
GGCGCUGCUAUAAUGCAGUCGAGCGGACAGAUGGGAGCUUGCUCCCUGAUGUUAGCGGCGGACGGGUGAGUAACACGUGGGUAACCUGCCUGUAAGACUGGGAUAACUCCGGGAAACCGGGGCUAAUACCGGAUGGUUGUUUGAACCGCAUGGUUCAGACAUAAAAGGUGGCUUCGGCUACCACUUACAGAUGGACCCGCGGCGCAUUAGCUAGUUGGUGAGGUAACGGCUCACCAAGGCGACGAUGCGUAGCCGACCUGAGAGGGUGAUCGGCCACACUGGGACUGAGACACGGCCCAGACUCCUACGGGAGGCAGCAGUAGGGAAUCUUCCGCAAUGGACGAAAGUCUGACGGAGCAACGCCGCGUGAGUGAUGAAGGUUUUCGGAUCGUAAAGCUCUGUUGUUAGGGAAGAACAAGUGCCGUUCAAAUAGGGCGGCACCUUGACGGUACCUAACCAGAAAGCCACGGCUAACUACGUGCCAGCAGCCGCGGUAAUACGUAGGUGGCAAGCGUUGUCCGGAAUUAUUGGGCGUAAAGGGCUCGCAGGCGGUUUCUUAAGUCUGAUGUGAAAGCCCCCGGCUCAACCGGGGAGGGUCAUUGGAAACUGGGGAACUUGAGUGCAGAAGAGGAGAGUGGAAUUCCACGUGUAGCGGUGAAAUGCGUAGAGAUGUGGAGGAACACCAGUGGCGAAGGCGACUCUCUGGUCUGUAACUGACGCUGAGGAGCGAAAGCGUGGGGAGCGAACAGGAUUAGAUACCCUGGUAGUCCACGCCGUAAACGAUGAGUGCUAAGUGUUAGGGGGUUUCCGCCCCUUAGUGCUGCAGCUAACGCAUUAAGCACUCCGCCUGGGGAGUACGGUCGCAAGACUGAAACUCAAAGGAAUUGACGGGGCCCGCACAAGCGGUGGAGCAUGUGGUUUAAUUCGAAGCACGCGAAGACCUUACCAGGUCUUGACAUCCUCUGACAAUCCUAGAGAUAGGACGUCCCCUUCGGGGCAGAGUGACAGGGGGUGCAUGGUGUCGUCAGCUCGUGUCGUGAGAUGUUGGGUUAAGUCCCGCAACGAGCGCAACCCUUGAUCUUAGUUGCCAGGCAUUCAGUUGGGCCC